rnacentral:sRNA from 1 species
UUAUGUUUUUGAAAACCUUCGCUGCACCCGGUAAUUUUUUACUGUCAUGAAGCUUUCCACUCAUAACUUAUCAUCAAUGUAAAUAAUUCUAUUUCUGGCUAAGUUUCCGCAUUAUUGCGAAUUAUUUUUUUGAAAAAUUUGGAGACAUUCAUGUCUAAAACUACUGGCGUAGUAAAAUGGUUUAACGAAGACAAAGGUUUUGGUUUUAUUUCCCCUGAUAACGGUGGCGCUGACGCAUUCGUUCACUUCCGCGCAAUCGUAUCUGAUGGCUUUAAAACCCUUGCUGAAGGUCAAAAGGUUUCUUACGAAGUCGAACAAGGCCAAAAAGGUCCUCAAGCUGCGAACGUAGUUGUUCUGUAAUUAAACUCCCGCAAGGGAUUUAAUUGACGACAAGUUCACAGACAAAAAUGCCGACUCAGUGUCGGCAUUUUUAU